rnacentral:rRNA from 9 species
UUGACCUCAAAUCAGGUAGGACUACCCGCUGAACUUAAGCAUAUCAUA